rnacentral:rRNA from 1 species
UACGGAGGGGGCGAGCGUUAUUCGGAAUUAUUGGGCGUAAAGGGCGCGCAGGCGGCCUUGUAAGUCAAAGGUGAAAUCCCUCGGCUCAACUGAGGAACUGCCUUUGAAACUGCAAGGCUUGAGGCCGGGAGGGGGUAGCGGAAUUCCCAAUGUAGCGGUGAAAUGCGUAGAUAUUGGGAGGAACACCAGUGGCGAAGGCGGCUACCUGGACCGGUUCUGACGCUGAGGCGCGAAAGCGUGGGGAGCAAACGGG